GAUCAUGGCUCAGGAUGAACGCUAGCUGCAGGCUUAACACAUGCAAGUCGAGGGGCAGCAUGGUCUUAGCUUGCUAAGGCCGAUGGCGACCGGCGCACGGGUGAGUAACGCGUAUCCAACCUGCCUUACACUCUUGGACAGCCUUCUGAAAGGGAGAUUAAUACAAGAUGUUAUCAUGAGUAAGCUAUUUUCGCAUGAUUAAAGGUUUACCGGUGUAAGAGUGGGGAUGUCCG
rnacentral:rRNA from 1 species